CCAGACUCCUACGGGAGGCAGCAGUGGGGAAUAUUGCACAAUGGGGGAAACCCUGAUGCAGCGACGCCGCGUGAGUGAAGGAGUAAUUCGUUAUGUAAAGCUCUAUCAGCAGGGAAGAAAAUGACGGUACCUGACUAAGAAGCCCCGGCUAACUACGUGCCAGCAGCCGCGGUAAUACGUAGGGGGCAAGCGUUAUCCGGAUUUACUGGGUGUAAAGGGAGCGUAGACGGCAGUGCAAGUCCGGAGUGAAAGCCCGGGGCUCAACCCUGGGACUGCUCUGGAAACUGUAAAGCUGGAGUGCGGGAGGGGCAGGCGGAAUUCCUGGUGUAGCGGUGAAAUGCGUAGAUAUACGGAGGAACACCAGUGGCGAAGGCGGAUUGCUGGACAGUAACUGACGCUGAGGCGCGAAAGCGUGGGGAGCAAACAGGAUUAGAUACCCCAGUAGGG
rnacentral:rRNA from 1 species